rnacentral:rRNA from 1 species
AGAGUUUGAUCCUGGCUCAGAUUGAACGCUGGCGGAAUGCUUUACACAUGCAAGUCGAACGGCAGCACGGGUGCUUGCACCUGGUGGCGAGUGGCGAACGGGUGAGUAAUGCGUCGGAACGUACCGAGUAAUGGGGGAUAACGCAGCGAAAGUUGUGCUAAUACCGCAUACGCCCUCCGGGGGAAAGCAGGGGAUCUUCGGACCUUGCGUUAUUCGAGCGGCCGACGUCUGAUUAGCUAGUUGGUGGGGUAAAGGCCUACCAAGGCGACGAUCAGUAGCGGGUCUGAGAGGAUGAUCCGCCACACUGGAACUGAGACACGGUCCAGACUCCUACGGGAGGCAGCAGUGGGGAAUUUUGGACAAUGGGGGCAACCCUGAUCCAGCCAUUCCGCGUGAGUGAAGAAGGCCUUCGGGUUGUAAAGCUCUUUCAGCAGGAACGAAACGGUACGCUCUAACAUAGUGCGCUAAUGACGGUACCUGCAGAAGAAGCACCGGCUAACUACGUGCCAGCAGCCGCGGUAAUACGUAGGGUGCGAGCGUUAAUCGGAAUUACUGGGCGUAAAGCGUGCGCAGGCGGAUUGUUAAGCAAGACGUGAAAUCCCCGGGCUUAACCUGGGAAUGGCGUUUUGAACUGGCAGUCUAGAGUGUGUCAGAGGGGGGUAGAAUUCCACGUGUAGCAGUGAAAUGCGUAGAGAUGUGGAGGAAUACCGAUGGCGAAGGCAGCCCCCUGGGAUAACACUGACGCUCAUGUACGAAAGCGUGGGUAGCAAACAGGAUUAGAUACCCUGGUAGUCC